CUCCCUUCUCUAUAAACAAGUCAUCUAAACAUCCUUCCUUUUCCUUGGCUUUUUCUUCUCAUGAGAUUCUAACAACUGGCUAGGCCGCCAUGCAUGCUCUCCAUCCAUCAUUUUCAAAGACAUUUCUAAGCUUGUUUGUCUCUUUAUUUAAGUUAAGAAAGGACAGCUCCAUCAGCGGACCUUAACAGCUUGUUUGUUUCUUUAGGUGAUAGUUUCCAUGAAUCUCCCACAACCUGCAACUUACAAGAAGUGGAGAUGAAAGAGAGGUGCAGUACUCACUUGACUAAGCUUCCUGAAUGUGUUUCAUAGAUAUAGGGGUCCUACACUCCAUUUUCUACAAACAAAUCAUCUAAACAUCCUUCCUCUUCCUUGGCCUUUUCCUCUCAUGAGAUUCUUACAACUGGCUAGGCCACCAUGCAUGCUCUCCAUCCAUCAUUUUCAAAGACAUUUCUAAGCUUGUUUGUCUCUUAAUUUAAGUCAAGAAAGGACAACUCCUUCAGCGGACCUUAACAGGUUGUUUGUUUCUUUAGGUGAUAGUUUCCGUGAAUCUCCCACAACCUGCAACUCACAAGAAGUGGAGAUGAAAGAGAGGUGCAAUACUCACUUGACUAAGAUUCCUGAAUGUGUUUCAUAGAUAUAGGGGUCCUACACUCCCUUCUCUAUAAACAAGUCAUCUAAACAUCCUUCCUUUUCCUUGGCUUUUUCUUCUCAUGAGAUUCUAACAACUGGCUAGGCCGCCAUGCAUGCUCUCCAUCCAUCAUUUUCAAAGACAUUUCUAAGCUUGUUUGUCUCUUUAUUUAAGUUAAGAAAGGACAGCUCCAUCAGCGGACCUUAACAGCUUGUUUGUUUCUUUAGGUGAUAGUUUCCAUGAAUCUCCCACAACCUGCAACUUACAAGAAGUGGAGAUGAAAGAGAGGUGCAGUACUCACUUGACUAAGCUUCCUGAAUGUGUUUCAUAGAUAUAGGGGUCCUAGACUCCAUUUUCUACAAACAAAUCAUCUAAACAUCCUUCCUCUUCCUUGGCCUUUUCCUCUCAUGAGAUUCUUACAACAAAGUGCUAUAUAUCAUCGUCCUCUAUAGUUGCAAUUGGCAUGGUGAAAAUGGCUUUCCUUAAGAGCUCUCAAGUCAUGUUGAUGGCCCUUUUCGUAGGAAUCAUCCUUCUCAUGUCCUCUGAGGUCGCUACUGCAAUAACACAACUCAAAUUUGGACGAAGGGUUCUAGGCGUACCAAAUGACGACUACCAUGAUCAUUCAGUUAGCUAUGGCCCAGGAAGGGCAGGAUACCUAUACCCUCCUCCAUAACCAUAGUUAUGUAGAAAGUCAAAUAAAAUUUGCUACCUGAAUAAGAGAUUAGCUAAGAUGCUAUCUGAUGAUGUCUACAGAUAAUUAAGGGUGAUUGUGAGUUAUGCUUAUGCUUGAUGCUUGAAUCAUGGGGUCAGAAUAUAUUUAGUAUUGUGAAGCAAUAUGUAAGACGGAAUUAUCAACAAAAUAAUACAUCUGGAUGGUGUUAGCAUUGGGAUGUAUAAGAUUGAUGUGUAUCUUAAAAGAGAUGUAUUUCAAUUCUGGCUUUAUACAUUAAUCUCCUUGUGUUGGAUGUCA